GAUGAACGCUAGCGGCAGGCUUAAUACAUGCAAGUCGUGGGGCAGCAUGAGUAGCAAUACUUGAUGGCGACCGGCAAACGGGUGCGGAACACGUACACAACCUUCCUUCAAGCGGGGAAUAGCCCAGAGAAAUUUGGAUUAAUACCCCAUAAAAUAUGAAAAUGGCAUCACUUAUAUAUUAAAGCUUCGGCACUUGAUGAUGGGUGUGCGGCUGAUUAGAUAGUUGGCGAGGUAACGGCUCACCAAGUCUACGAUCAGUAGCUGAUGUGAGAGCAUGAUCAGCCACACGGGCACUGAGACACGGGCCCGACUCCUACGGGAGGCAGCAGUAAGGAAUAUUGGACAAUGGACGAAAGUCUGAUCCAGCCAUGCCGCGUGAAGGAUUAAGGUCCUCUGGAUUGUAAACUUCUUUAUAUGGGACGAAAAAAAGAGAAAUUCUUUCUCACUUGACGGUACCAUACGAAUCAGCACCGGCUAAC
rnacentral:rRNA from 1 species